rnacentral:pre_miRNA from 1 species
GUAGUCGGUUUCGCAUCAAUCCACAUGUGUUGGGGUGGGUUGGAGUGGAACUUAAAGUAAAUUCCAACUCAAUCCACUCCAACACAUGUGGAUCGAGGUGCUUGUU